rnacentral:tRNA from 1 species
GCAUUUGUGGCUCAGUGGUAGAGCGUCGCACUCGUAAUGCGAAGGUCGUGGGUUCAAUCCCCAUCAGAUGCA